rnacentral:rRNA from 1 species
UACAGAGGUCCCAAGCGUUGUUCGGAUUCAUUGGGCGUAAAGGGUGCGUAGGUGGCGUCGUAAGUCGGGUGUGAAAUCUCGGGGCUUAACUCCGAAACUGCAUUCGAUACUGCGGUGCUUGAGGACUGGAGAGGAGACUGGAAUUUACGGUGUAGCAGUGAAAUGCGUAGAGAUCGUAAGGAAGGCCAGUGGCGAAGGCGAGUUCCUGGACGGUUACUGACGCUGAGGCACGAAGGCCAGGGGAGCAAACGGG